rnacentral:rRNA from 1 species
UACGGAGGGUGCGAGCGUUGUCCGGAAUCACUGGGCGUAAAGGGCGCGUAGGCGGCCUGUUAAGUAGGGGGUGAAAUCCUGCGGCUUAACCGCAGGGCUGCCUUCUAAACUGUCAGGCUAGAGCACGGUAGAGGCAGAUGGAAUUCCCGGUGUAGCGGUGGAAUGCGUAGAGAUCGGGAAGAACAUCAGUGGCGAAGGCGGUCUGCUGGGCCGUUGCUGACGCUGAGGCGCGACAGCGUGGGGAGCAAACAGG